rnacentral:rRNA from 1 species
GGUCUAUGCAUAGAUUGAUGAGAGUACCGUAUGAAUAAGCAUCGGCUAACUCCGUGCCAGCAGCCGCGGUAAUACGGAGGAUGCGAGCGUUAUCCGGAUUUAUUGGGUUUAAAGGGUGCGUAGGCGGCUUUGUAAGUCAGCGGUGAAAUUUUGCAGCUUAACUGUAAAAGCGCCGUUGAUACUGUGAAGCUAGGAUUUGGUUGCUGUGGGCGGAAUGUGUGGUGUAGCGGUGAAAUGCAUAGAGAUCACACAGAAUAUCGAUUGCGAAGGCAGCUCACAAAGCCAAUAUUGACGCUGAGGCACGAAAGUGUGGGGAUCAAACAGGAUUAGAUACCCUGGUAGUCCACACUGUAAACGAUGAUAACUCGCUGUCGGCGAUAGACCGUCGGUGGCCAAGCGAAAGCGAUAAGUUAUCCACCUGGGGAGUACGACCGCAAGGUUGAAACUCAAAGGAAUUGACGGA